GGCAUGAGUGAAAUAUAGAUGAGUGGAAAUCACUCAUGAAUUGUGUUCAGUGAUGGAGUACAACAUGUACGUGCAUGUAUAAAGGUCACAUUCAUCAGAACAAUGAAAAUGUUCUUUGUUUCUAAGAGAGUGUUCCUGAUGAAGAAAGUAGCAUGGUUUGUCGUUAUAAUCAUAAAGUGUAUAGAAGUAUAAUUUCAUAUGUAAUAUCCUCUAUUCAGAUGCUCAAGUAAAUAAUAAAACAAAGUACAAACAACAUGUGCAAGACCAGGAAAACACAAUAUAUGACUGGACUGAGAGGUACAGAGAAUCAUUUUGCAGUUUCAAUGUGAAAAUACAUUACAUUAGUUUAGUUAGACCAUAGAACAUUUUUUUUUGAACCAUAGAGCAUCUUACAUUAGAAUGAGUGUUGUGAAAGCAUUUGGAUGCAUGCCACUUCAUUAAUCAAUUGUGUGGGAUUAGUUCCAAAUAGUAAUGAGGAGAUGAAUGAAUAAAAAGAACGCAAUGUUUAUGUGUGAGGCAUCAACAUUUAAUAUUAAAAGAAUGUUGGUAAUCAAGUGUACCUUUGCUUGCCACGAGGUAAUAAAGCGUUCCUCGUCUUAUAAUAUAUGAACGAAAUAUUACAUAAUAAACUGAAGUAGUAAUAUUUAAGUUAACAUAACGUCAAGCCUGACAUGAUAGUCAUGUGUAAAGUCUAGCCGUGUAAAUGCGUGGAUCACCCCGCUAUUUACAUCGAUGACAUAAGAUACUAAUUAUGCUAAUUAUGCACACUAGUAAUGCAUUUCACCAUUGUAUCUAACCAGUACACCACGGUCUCACACCCGAGCAACAAACUGCAAGACAGAGUAUGCCAGAAUCAUCCUACUUCCCAAUGUCUCCUAAUCUUGAAGCUAGUUCUUCUUUGUAUCUAUGCUAGCAUUAUAAUUUAACUCUUGCUAGCUAACCAGCAGAACUCUCUUUUCAUUUCUUGCUAGUUUGGGUAGCCGGUGAAGGUUGACUCAGCACAAAAUAAGAAACAAAAAGAAAAUAUUUGGACACAGUCACAUUGGUGCUGAAGCGGGUAAAACUACCUGUUAUAUAUAAGCUCGCAAUAUUUCUGGUACCAAAGACGGGCUACAUAUGGUUGUUGGAAACCCUUACCUAUCCAAUGUAGGUAGCUAGGAUCAAUACUAUAGAAUUAAGGCGUCACAGUAGGAUCAUCAAAGAUGGAUAUAUCAAAACCCAUCUGGAACAUAUUGUAGAUGGUUUAUUUUUGCAUUUGUCUGCAUAACUUACACAAUUGGUUGAUAAAAAAACACAUUCUAGAUAUUGGAUAGCAAUAGUUAUGCACUCAGUUCAUAAAUAAAGUCACCCACAGUAAUCUAGAGAUAGCAUGUGAUUCUAUUCAGGAACCAUUUGGUAUUCUCUCCAAGGUGUUCUUUGCAAAAGCUUUAGAAACACAAACAACGUGUCAAGUACAAUUUGCCAACGAUAGCUAAAUAGGUACAUAAACAAUUUAGCAGGAGACGAGUAUUGUAGACUGAAUAAGUACUUAUAUUAUCAGUCAUCAGCUGCAUCGUGUUUCCUUCUUGAGCACACAAACAAUUUAGCAGGAGACGAGUAUUGUAGACUAAACAAUGAGUAUGUGUUAGAGUAAUCUUGAGCUAAUUAAUUAUGAUAAGUGAUGAUAAGGUGCAAGUUAGCUGGCUGCCGUCGGGUAGUACUAGUUGGCUUGUGUGCUGGUAGUACUAGUCCAGGUCAAAUACGAUGUUAAGUAUCUGAGUAGGUCUAUCCUGGAGUCCUGAUAGGUUUAUAUGUUGUGUCCGUAUAGGAAUAGUAAAAGUUGGGUCGGUUGGUUCUAGCAAAUAAGCCCGUGCGUUGCAACGGGAGAAAUAUAUAAAUUAUACGCUAGCCAAAUAAGCAUAAUAUUUUUUUUAAGGAUUGACUCAAUACCCUCACAUAUGAGCAUCUUCUGUUUUUAACAUGGUGACUCAUCAUGUUGCCACUUAACUUUCUCUCCCACCCUCGUUGAUGAUGGUCGCGAUGAUCACGUGAUGACAAUGCAUUCAACGCGCUAAAUCCAAGGGCUAUGAGCUUGCUACUGCAUGUCACAUUUGUCAUUAUGUUGCGUAAGGGAAUAUUAAUUUUUUUUAAACAAAUCUCCCCGACCAUGAACUACUUCCAAUGUCUAGACAUAUAAACACUUUCAAAAAUCUAAUCAAAUCCUAGUCAUAAAAGUCUUUCAAUCGCUGAACAGUUUUUGAAUUGAUAUUUUUUUUGAAAAUCAC
rnacentral:lncRNA from 1 species